rnacentral:lncRNA from 1 species
AUAUAUAAGAGAAGUGGCAUGGUUGACCUCUGAAAACUUCAGCUCAUCUAGAGUAGGAAUGGUAUCAUCAUCCUCUCUUUGGUUGUCUGGUCGUUUUUUCGACAAUUUUUCCUCGAGGGAUGUGACUUGCUUCAAGCAGUUCUCUUUCUCGAAUUGAAGGGAUUUUAUUUGCCACAGAAGUUGGCUAUUUGCUCUUCUAAGCUGGCAAAGCUCAUUUUUCAGCUCGGAAACUUUGGUACACAUUACUUCUUUUGCAGUUAAGUCUCCUUCCAGCCUCAGAACUUUCUCCUCUAGUGCAAUUGUCUUGUAUUUGCAUUUUUCUGCUUCCGCCACUUCCUUCUGCAUGCAGGUGAUUUCCUGAAGUAAUGAUGCCUUCUCUUCCUUCAACUCUUCACAAUCUCCAUAUUUCAACAACAGUGUAACUUGUGUUCUCUCACUUUCAAACUUCAUCCCAGAUAGUGCUUCUUUAAGAUACAAAACUUCCUCCUGAAGUAAUGGUAAUGUAUGCAGUUGAAUCUUUAGGCUAGAAUUCUCUUCAGUCAUUUGCAGCAUUUGACAUUCAGAAGACAGUAGUUUUGACUCAAGCUCAUUAAUGGUGCAUUUAAGCUUUGCUUCACUGGAUACAAGAUGUUCCAUCAUCCUCAGUAGCUUAUCACAAUUAGCUGCCAAAGUUCCCUCCUUGGCUUUGGAAGUACCAAGUUCACUCAUAAGAUCUGACAUCUCUACCAUCAGGGAUUGUACCUGUUCUUGCAACUUUUCGACUUCAACUGUGUUCUCCGGAGACAUUUCACGCAGAGUGCACCCUUCUACAAGAAAUUUUUCUCCAUGCUCUUUAGUCUGUAGGUGGAGAUCGUCAAGUUUGAACUUAAGGAUCUUCUCUUUUGAUUCAAUCUCUUCCAUCACUGAAGAAAAGUUAGCUUCUAAAGACUCUAUCCUUUUCAAACAGGUGGAGAAAGAAUGCUGAGAUUUCCUCAAUUCUGCUUCCAAAACAUUAUGGCUCACAUGUAAUUUUAAUUUUUGUUGCCUUAGUUCUGCAUUCAAGUUUUGAAGCAAACAACACUCUUCCAUAAGACUUUCUGUUGUUGCUUGGAGCUUUGGAUUUACUUUCUUCAGAUACUCGCACUCUUCUUGAGCAUCUAACCAUCGCUUUUGCAUCUCCAUCAACUGUUCUUUCAUAUCGAGCUUUUGUGACUCCUUUUGAUGUUCUAAUUUUCUAAUCUUGCUCUCAAGGCUCACAACACGAUUACCAGAAUGCUGCAGUUCCAAACGAUUGAAUUCCAUUGCAUCAGUCAAAUGCCUUAGUUGAGCUUCCAAUCCUGAUACUCGUUCUGACAGAUCUACAUUUUCUUUUUCUAAUUCAUGCAAAUUAAGUUCUAACUCAUACUUAUCACUCUCUAGCUCUAAUGAUUUCAUUUCGUACGUCAUUUUAGAGACUCCUCCACAAAUACAUUGAUCAAGAAACAUCAAACCAUUUGCGGAAGUGUCUAAAGAAUUGGAGGUGGCACUAAGUUCUUGUUGCAUGUUUUCUAUUCUCUCCUCCAUCAGACAUUUACUCAUCUGGAGAUCAGAGAUUUGAGUACUCAAAUCAGUCUGCUGAUGCCUUAGCGCUUCGAUCUUUACAUCCUUUUUCAAACAUUUUGUCUUCAGCUCCAGUAUCUCCGAGUUCUUAGCUAAACUAUCACUACUUAAAUUUUGAAUCUUGCCCUCUAGCACCUUAUUUAAAUCCUCAAGCCUUUCACAGCAAGAACAAGGAGUAUUUUCCUUUGGAAGGUCAUCCUUUUCCUCAUCUUGAACUUCACAUGCAUCCUUUAAUGUUGUUUUGGGUUCAUCCUCGAUAUGUUGACUACCAUCAAGAUAUAGAGCCAACCUGUACCUCAAUAACUGGAAAUUUUUCAACACUGCAUUAGCUUGCUCGUCCUUAGCGGGAUGACCUGUACAUUCACAAAAAUCUAAAUUACAUAUAGCAUUUUAAAACUCAGUGUUUAUAAGUGAAAGGAGGACAUUUUGUCUUGUACCCUGUUGCACAAGAAACAUGCUAGAUACUUACAUAAUGUGUUGAGUAGGGUAUAGAUAUCUUCAAUAUGUCCUGACUCGGAACUCUGAAAUAUUAUGGGUACAUUUUUAUGAGUGAAACGAUCUUGACAAUCUCCUUCCUGCUGACAUUCAGAUGGCAUUGCAGCAACCUCAGUUCUCUGAUCUUGUUCUUGUACUUCAACGCAACAUGAGUUGAUUUCAGCAUUUGGCCUCAAAGCAUUGUCCCUAACUAGUGAGUGAAACUCCAGAGCUAAGUUUUCUUCCUGAUCACAGGUUUUCUGCUUACUUUCAGAACCCUUUGAUUUCAGUUUGUACAGAAGUUCCAGGUUUUCUUCGGUCAGCUCCUUGCAAUCUCUCUCAAGUUCCUGGAGUCUUUCCUUGAGAGUCUCAUUUUCCUUGAUCAGAUCACAGUCAGCUUCAGCUUUGAUCUCACUUGUCUUGGAGUCCUCGGCACUUAAAAGUCUGGAUAACUCUGCCUUCAAAUAAGUAAUUUCCUCUUCUUGUUCUCUUGACCUAUUUUUCCAUUUUUCUUCACAAUCUAUAAGAGCCUGAGUCCUGUGAUCUCGUUCAAGUUCAAUCUCAUGAGUUUUCUCCCUGAUGAUUUUCUCCAGAUGGAGAGUGGUGUUUUCCAGAUUUUUCUGUGAUUCUUGCAACUGUUGAAGCUUGUCCUCUAGGUUCUGUUGGUUCUCAGAAUUCGACUUUACUUCUAAAAGGUUCUUAAUCUCCAAUUUCUGCUUUUCAACAGUUUCUUCCAUCUCCUGCAGAAUAGAGACUAGUUGAAUAUUUGAUUCUUGAGUUUUACUUAGCUGGAAAGACAUAUCGUCAUUUGAUUCUUUUUGAAUCCUAAGUUCCUCUUUUAAAAUCUUUUCAACACUAUCCUUAUCUCUGACUCGGAGCAUUAAACUCUCAGUUGAUUUUUCCUUUUCCAUGGAUUCUUGUAAAAGGAUCUCAAGGUGUCUGAUUUCUUGCAUCGAUCCAUCACGUUCUGUACCCAAUGAACAAAGCUCCAUCUUAAGGUUUUCUAUCUGCUGUGACUGGUCAGCAAACUCCUUCCUUGACAUUUCCAAGUCAGUCUUUAAGCUUUGAGCAUUUUGUUCCCACAUCAUGGCCUCUGCAAUUAGUUCUUUACUGAUAGUAUCUUUGGCUUGUAAGGAGUUUCUAGAGGAAGCAGAAAGUUGCACUGAUGCGGUGUUAUCAUGUGAGAACUGUUUGAAAUCAUCUUUUUGAUUUUGAGCAUUCUUUCCUGAUCCUGAGAUCAUUAAAUUAUAGGGAGAGUUGUACGAUUUGGGUGAUUCACAAAAAGAGUAAGAACCACAGGAUGCACUACUCCUGGAAUCAAUUGAUUCUUGUCUACCAAUUAUGAGGUUACCAUGCCUAUUUGAGUCACUUUGGGAUGAAAAGCUUUCUCUGCCCAAUGAAUCCUCUGUAGAGGCAAAGCUAUGAUAUGAACUCAGCCGUGGGAGGCUUCUUUCCUGUUGGGAAAGCAUAAUCUAGCUUAAAUUCUAGAGGAAGCUAGAGAAGAUAAAGUAACAAAAUAAAUGCACCAUUGAUACUAGUAAAAUAAGAUCUCUAAGAGAAGACAUGCGUUGAUAAUAAUGAGAAAUAUACUUCAACUUCCGAUAUUUGAGCGUAUAUAUGCAUCCGGUGAUUUCAGUUAUUCAAGUUGUUUGGUCUAUAUCUAUGAUUUUAUAGUUACUUGGCUUUCUUGUAAUGUCCCUUAAUUUUAAAAAUUUGCAGUUUGUAUGUCUGUCUGUGUCCAUGUCCCACGCCAUGUCUAAACUACUAAAGCUGCAUUCAAGAAUGAGAUCCAGGCAAUAUUGCAGCCACUUUCCAGCCUUUUAAAUAUAAUAAUUAUGGACCUUUUUAUCUGGAUGGUUCUAGAUUGACUACCGACUGAAAGCGUUAGAUCAAAACUCAAACUUGGCCAACACUGAAGAUGAAGACAGGACAUAUAAAUCUAUAAUUCUAUUAAUCAUUUUCCAUUUAAAGCCUAGUAUUCUAUUAUUUGCAUUUUAAUUGUGAACUAAAAAGCGAAAAUGGAUAUCCAAACUUUAAGUACAGUACUAGUUCUAAUUGGGUGAAUAAUCAAAUAUUUGGAUAAUAGUUCAAAAACAAGAUUUUUCUCAUAUAAUAUCCUAAUGAAUAUCAACAGAUGCAUAAACCUUUCUGACUAGAUAGUUAGAUACCUCUGAUUUCAUUUCCAUGUUAUUGUAUUCCAUGUUCUCUUCUUCAGCAUAGAAGGGCAUGUCUUUGGAUUCAUUAUCCCUACGAUUUCAAAUUGAUUCUUUUUACUAUGGAUAGAGAAAAAAAAAAGAAGAAACAGAAAUGUUGAAAACUAAGGAAGAAGUUGUUGUGUUCUAGAGACAAACCUGAUUGAUGUCAAACACUUGAUCUCCAGCUGCAGAAACAUAAGAAAUUGAAUCAGUAAUAGUAGGUAAGUAAAAAAGCUGAGAUUAUUAUGUACUCAGGUGUGCUUUAGGUAACAUGUUCCUGAAUGAAAUAUAGGCCAAGAACCUAAGGGAGUUGGCUGAAAAUCUUCAACAAGGACCUCAGGCAUUCAGGAUGGGAUCAACAUUAAGAUGCUCCAAAUUAUGAGUAAUUUAUUGCAUUUGAGAUGAAAGAAGUUAAAGCUGGAAAUUUUUUAUUCAAGUAAAUCAAAUUUGUUCAAUUCUAUUGCUUUCUUUAAUCUUCACAUAUUUAAUAUGAAAUCCCUAAUUCUAAAAACAUAUUCAGUUUCACAUUAAAAAGUAAGUAAAAAUAGCAUACAAGCAUGCAAAGUUAUGUGGCUCUCAAAUUCUUAUGAGCAAAGUAAGAUGACAAAACAAGUAUUCUUUCAGUAUAUAACUUGUAGAAUUACAUGGAUACUAUUGAACGGAAAACAAAUUAAAUUCUAUUACUGAGAAGCAAACCUAAAACUUGAGAAUUAUUGAGCACAAAUGAAAAGAAAAUCUUUCUAAAGGGGAUUACUAAGAUCUGAGAAGCUAGUUGAUACACAGAGUUCGUCAUCUAAGCUCAUAUUAAUAGCAGUGAUUGAUUCAUUCGUUAAAAAAUUAGGUUAUUUGUUCCAGGUAAAGCAACAGAAAAGAACAAAAAAGAAGUUUCUUUGCACUUGAGUAACGGAAGAUGAACUUGUUUAUUGCAAAAGAAGCAUAGAAUCUUGGAGAAAUAUGAUAUGGUGGGUCUACAAAGAGUAAUUCCUGAACAUGUUGAAUUAAAAUGAAGGAAAGAAAUGGUAAUCAUAGGAUAUACUAGAUAAUGUUUUGCAUUUUAAAGUGCAAACAUCAAACUUGAAAGUAUUAGAAGAGGUCUCACUUGUAGAACUGUGCCAUGGUUACAUUUUUUCAAAGGUAAGGAAACUGGAGUAAAAGCUUUUGCAUCCCUGAAGCGAGCAAGAUUUACAGAAGCCUCUCCGAGAAUGCUAGAUCUUGCAGAUCCCUGAAACAGAAAACUGAUAACGUUAUAAACAUGAAAACUAAGAGCCAAGUAUAGCAAAUUCAGUAAGCUUAAAGCUUAUUGAACCGAUAACUUCAACCGAUAGAAAUAUAGGAAGGUGUCUGACCAUUGUUACAAUAAACUUAAGAGGGAAUUGCUCUUGGUUGUUUGAAAUAUCAUCUGGGGUAAUCCACAUGGACUGUGACCAUGUUUCUGUCCAUUUGCAAUUACCAUUUCGUACUGAGGCUUUCCCUGAUUUGCUGACUGUUUUCCCUGUUUCCACAGAGAUAAGAGAGAGGGAAAGUUUGUCCCAUCCUUUAGGUACCUGAGGGAAGUAAACCCAUAGAAAGUCUCAUAAACUGAAAUUGGACGUAAAGUUUCAGUCAAGAUGAUGAUAGCGAGGCCAUUGAGACGUCAAUGUUAGAUGAUUAGUCUUUGAAUUCUAUCUAACAAGUAAAAGAAAUAUAGACAUCGUUAAAAAUGUUCCAUAGAUAUAAGCAGUUUGAGAAAAGGAUUUUGUAGCUAGUCAUUAUCUUAAGAGUAUCUGUUCAGUCACAAAUACUGAAAGCAGGGUAAGAAAUUCACCAUGUUAAACAUUACAAAUUUACAAGAACAACGAUUGGAUCUUUUGAAACAUUUAAUGAGGUAACAACAACAUAUCCAGCGUAAUCCUACAAGUGGGAUGUGGGGAGGGAAGAGUGUACACAGUCCUUACCUCCGAGGUAGACAGGCUGUUUCCGACAGAACCUCAGCAAGAAAUGAGGCAAGAAGUGAAAAUCCAAGGGAAAAUAGAGUCUAUAGCAGUUAAUAAGCGAAUAUGUAAAGACGAGACAAGACGGUGUAUAUGGUACUAAUUUGACCUAAAUUUUUUAAGGCUGUUUCCUUUAUGAGUUAUUCAUUUCCUACAUUGUCCAACAUUAUUAUAUCCCUGAAAUAUUUAUGUGUUAUUUAAAUAUAUUUCCUUGUGUACUGUCAAUUAAAGCUAUUAUGAUCUAUUUUUCUGUUUUGCACUUUUGAAUUCAGGUACUAACCCUUCCGUGCACCUCCGUAUGUGUCAUUUAUUCAUACCAUUGUACAUAUGGCUUAUACUGCAACGUGGUUCCUAGUUCAAUCGUUUAUUACUAAUAAUACCAGAGUAACAGACUGGUUACAUCAAUUCUGGAGCAUUUGCCAUUCCAUUGUUUCCAAGAAAAUAUGUUUUUCUGGUGUUUCUUUCUCUGUCUCCUGCCAACUAUGAAGAGAACCGUAAUCCUUUUUUCAUGUAAUUUAGGAGAAAAAAUGCCUCAGAUGUCUGCAUGGCAGCUAAUGGCUUUUAACAAAUUUCAUUUUCACAUUUACCGCGACUAAGGAAAAAAAGAAACUAAUGGACAACGGACAACCAGGUUCACAGCCCAUGCAUACAUGAUACAUCACACAACUGCCACUCAGAACCUCUGUUAGUGCUUACUCAUCUUCCAGAAUCAACUGCUGAACAAAAGCAAUUGAAUGUUUCAUUAGUAGAUUGACCUACUUCGAUUAGUUCAGCCACCUGGUUGUAUGCAGCUAAUAGUUUGCUGAUUGUUGUUUUGAAAUUAGAUUUGUCAUAUUCAGAAGUUUGCUUAACAUCUCACUCUAGUCCAACUAUAGUCUUGCAGUUAUUUUGAUCAUUUCUAUUGCAUAAGUAGGCACGGAUAACUAUAACUUACACUCAUCUCCCUAUUUCCCAUGUUAAAUACCACAACAUUCAGUGUCAGACCCAC